rnacentral:rRNA from 1 species
UACGUAGGGUGCGAGCGUUGUCCGGAAUUACUGGGCGUAAAGAGCUCGUAGGUGGUUUGUCGCGUCGUCUGUGAAAUUCCGGGGCUUAACUUCGGGCGUGCAGGCGAUACGGGCAAUACUUGAGUGCUGUAGGGGAGACUGGAAUUCCUGGUGUAGCGGUGGAAUGCGCAGAUAUCAGGAGGAACACCAAUGGCGAAGGCAGGUCUCUGGGCAGUUACUGACGCUGAGGAGCGAAAGCAUGGGUAGCGAACAGGAUUAGA